UGUCUCAAAAAAAAAAAAGAAUAUCUAUCAUUGGUGAGUCUGUGAGGAAAUGGAUCCUCCAACAGUGUUGUUGAGAGUGUCUUUUUUGAGUCUUUUUUGGAGCCAACUCUAUUAAAAUUGGAUAUGUUCUGUCCCUUUGGCCCAGCAUUUUUCACCUCUAUGAAUUCAUCCUGGAAAACCACUGCUUAGCUACUAACCACUUGAAAUGAGGCUAGUCUGAAUUGAGUACACACUGGAUUUUGAAGAUAUGAAACAAAAGAUAGAGUCUGGCUCUAUCACCUAGGCUGGAUGGAGUACAGUAGUGCAAUCAUGGGUCACUGCAGCCUCAACCUCCUGGACUCAAGUGAUCCUCCCACCUCAACCUCCCAAGUAGCGAGGACCACAGCCACGUGCCACGAUGCUGGGCGAGUUUUUAAAUUAUUUGUAGAGAUGGGGGUUUUCCUAUGUUGCCCAGGCUGAUCCUGAACUCCUGGGUUCAAGUGAUCCUCCUUCAGCUUCCCAAAGUGCUAGGAUUACAGGUGUGAGCCAUUAAAGACAAAUUUGUAAAAGAUUAGAUAUAGCAGAAGAGAGAAUUAGUGAACUAUAAGACAGGUCAAUAGCCAAAAUAAAAUAAAAUACAUUUUAUGUCUGUUCUUUCUUUGCUAUAAAGAAAUGCCUGAGGCUGGGUAAUUUAUAAGAAAAGAGGUUUAACUGGCUCACGGUUCUGCAGGCUGUACAGGAGGCAUAGUAGCAUCUGCUUCUAAGGAGUCCCCAGGAGGCUUCCAGUCAUGGCAGAAGGCAAAGGAGGAGUAGGCAUGUUACAUGGCAAAAGCAGCAGCAAGAGAGAGUGGGGAGAAGGUGCCACACACUUUUAAAUGACCAGAUCUUGUGAGAACACACUAUCACUAAGAUAUCACCAAGCCAUGAGGGAUCUACUUCCAUGAUCCAAACAUCUCCUACCAGGCCCCAUUUCCAGCAUUACAGAUUAUAAUUCAACAUGUGAUUUGGGCGAGACAAAUAUCCAAACUAUAUCAAUGUCCAAUCUUUCCUUUAAAUUGAACAGAGGUUUCUGAAAAUUUAUAUUCCUAAAUAUAUUUUUUAAAUGUCAAGACUUUGAAGUUUUAAUUGGCUUCCUGUACAUACCACAAAAAAGAAUACCUCAAAUCAUUAUUAAAUUCCCUCAUCUUACUUUUCUCAUGAGUAUAUCCUUGUCUCUCAGCUGCAGAUAGGAUAAAUUAGGGACAGUGAGAAGGAGUUAAAAAAGGCCAGCAGCCCACCAUUUCUGCCACAAUUUAGAGUACUAUGCCUAACACGGUAAUUGUAUGUUAGGGAGAUAUGGCCCUAGCUAGGUGAAGUCCAGUCUUGUAAAUAACCAGAGGG
rnacentral:lncRNA from 10 species